CUCAGACAGUACAAGCCGGUCCCUGUGACAUUCUAGACCCCGCCACAGUCAACGGAUCCUGGCAGGCAGCCACCCCUCCCAUCACUUGGCCGAAGCUAAAUCAGCAGCAACACAUCAGCUCUUUAGAAUUACGUGCUUGGUCGUGGGAUUACAAGCAACGACAAUGAGGUUGGUGCAGACUGCUGAGAAGGCUGUCCAAAUGAAUACCAGCUCUGACACUAGCAGUGUGACCAAGGAUUGUGGAAAGAAAAGUAUUUUAUAAAUUGAAGUGAGGAGAGAAGCUGGACUUGGGAAACUCCAGUUUUAAAUCCUGCCUCCGACAUUUGAUAUUGGUGGGAUCUCAGCAGGGAUUAUAUUUGUAUCCCCCCCUUUUCUUUUGGUAUCCCAGCGCUUAGCACAGUGCAUGACACAUGAUAAACAUCUAAUAAAUUUUUAA